CAAUAGCGUAUAUUAAAGUUGUUGCAGUUAAAAAGCUCGUAGUUGGAUUUCUGGAUGGAGCGACCGGUCGGGCAUUAAUUUGUCUGCACUGGAGUCGGUUCCGUCCAUCCUCUUGGAAAGUGCGUGGGGCAUUAAGUUGUCUGGCGUAUGAUCCAAGUCGUUUACUGUGAAAAAAUUAGAGUGUUUAAAGCAGGCCUUCGCCUUGAAUACAUUAGCAUGGAAUAAUAAGAUAGGACUUUGGUCUAUUUUGUUGGUUUGCAGACCGAAGUAAUGAUUAAUAGGGAUAGUUGGGGGUAUUUAUAUUCCGAUGUCAGAGGUGAAAUUCUUAGAUUUUCGGAAGAUAAACUUAUGCGAAAGCAUUUACCAAGGAUGUUUNCAUUAG
rnacentral:rRNA from 1 species